rnacentral:rRNA from 1 species
AGGAAAUGCAAGCAACCGCGAUUGCUUCAGUAACGGCGAGUGAAUGGGCAACACAAUCUCAGCCUGAAGUGAAUCCCAGACUGCACUGUCUCAUGGCAGUUGCGUCCGGCUCUCUUGGGUUCAGCACAUGCUGUGGGCUGUGGAGCAGGUGGCAGUGUUCAGGUCUGGCUGUGCCCCAGGAAUGGCCCUGGAAUGGCCUACCACAGUGGGAUACUGUCCUUUACGAAGCACCAGUGGGUGCGGCCAGCUUGGACGUUGCUGCUUGUAUCCUGGAGUAGAGUGGCUUGGGACUGCAGUUUGAAGUGCAAGGUAUAUCCCUUGCAAGGCAGCAUACUGACAUGGAACCGAUAGCGCACAAGUAGAGUGAUCGAAGGAUGCAAAGGACUCUGCAAAGAGGGUUAAAAGCCCCUGAAGCCUCAGCAGGAACGGCGGUGAGUGGUGCUGUGGUUCUCAGCUCCAUGCAUGAUGGAGCUGCCUGAGCUGUGUGGUGAAGCCUGGAUGCUUUCCUGGCUGGGGUGCAGGGUUGCUGCAGGUCCCUCGUGGCCUCAGUGGAUCUGCUUCAGUCGUGUGGAGUGUCUGGUGUGGAGCUGCAUGGUGAAGGGUGGUCAAUCAUCUGUGUGUGGAGCACUGUAGCAUGCCAGGUGCCCUUGGGCCAGCCCAAUGCUGGUUACUGAGCUCUGUCCAUCAGGAUGGGAUGCAAUCGUAACAGUGAUGUGGUGGCAAGCAGCCUGCCAGGGCCUGAGGGUCUUCUGAGUCAAUCCCAGAGUUGUUGUGCAGUAGCAGUGCUGGUGAUCAACGUGAGUAGCUUCCCAAUCUGGUGUGUCUGCGGACAUGCCAGUGGCUGUGUCUUGUCCUGGCUUGGGGCUGGUGGCUGCAUGGUGGCUGCACCAUUCUGAUGGUGGCUCCUGUGUGGUCUGCUGGUCCUCCAGACUUGGCAUGGUCAGAAGGCAGCUGAGCCUGGUACAAGCAGUGCCACUCUCUGCCCGUCUUGAAACACGGACCAAGGAGUCUAUGGAGCUUGCAAGUUGGCUGGUCUUCUGCCAAACCAGAGUGCAUGGUGAAGGCAAAGCAACCCCAGAUGAGUGCAGACUGUGUGAAGAGACUCUGAGAUGCAGAGAGCAUGGCAUGCUGGACUCCUCCUUGGGCAUGUGGAGUGUCUGUGCCCUUCAAGGGAUGAAGGUGUGUUGUGUCUCAAAGCAACUUGUGUGGAGGUGAAGCAUGGCUUGUACUGCUGCAUGGGGCACCAGUCCCGGAGUCCAGUGGACAGGGUUCUGAGUGAUUGCAAGGUCCAUGGGACCCGAAAGGUGGUGAACUAUACCGUGCUAUGAUGAAGCCGUGGGAAACUGCGGUGGAGGUCAGUCGCUGUUCUGACGUGCAAAUUGUGUAGCCUGAGUGCGGCAUAGGGGUGAAAGGCCAAUCGAACCACCUAGUAGC